rnacentral:rRNA from 1 species
GCUUAACACAUGCAAGUCGAACGGAAAGGCCCUGCUUUUGUGGGGUGCUCGAGUGGCGAACGGGUGAGUAACACGUGAGUAACCUGCCCUUGACUUUGGGAUAACUUCAGGAAACUGGGGCUAAUACCGGAUAGGAGCUCCUGCUGCAUGGUGGGGGUUGGAAAGUUUCGGCGGUUGGGGAUGGACUCGCGGCUUAUCAGCUUGUUGGUGGGGUAGUGGCUUACCAAGGCUUUGACGGGUAGCCGGCCUGAGAGGGUGACCGGCCACAUUGGGACUGAGAUACGGCCCAGACUCCUACGGGAGGCAGCAGUGGGGAAUAUUGCACAAUGGGCGGAAGCCUGAUGCAGCAACGCCGCGUGCGGGAUGACGGCCUUCGGGUUGUAAACCGCUUUCGCCUGUGACGAAGCGUGAGUGACGGUAAUGGGUAAAGAAGCACCGGCUAACUACGUGCCAGCAGCCGCGGUGAUACGUAGGGUGCGAGCGUUGUCCGGAUUUAUUGGGCGUAAAGGGCUCGUAGGUGGUUGAUCGCGUCGGAAGUGUAAUCUUGGGGCUUAACCCUGAGCGUGCUUUCGAUACGGUUUGACUUGAGGAAGGUAGGGGAUAAUGUAAUUCCUGGUGGAACGG